AAAGUCCUGCUCCGGAAGGCGCAGCCAGCGCCACCGGAUAGCGAGUCUUGCGCCUUCCCGGGUAACCUGGAAGGUGAAGCGUAGACAGCGAAGUAUCCGAGCCGAAACCAAAUGGUGAACGUGAUACCCCCGAAAUGGAAGCGAUUGUGGAAGCCGACAGAUGGUUCAGCUGGCAGGCAACAGGUUUCCGGAGGCCACACUGGCGAUAUGCCAAAGGAAACCAACCACCGGGGGCACAGGCGU
rnacentral:ncRNA from 1 species